ACGCCCAAGUCUCCAUUGAGUUCAUAACCAAGUGGACAAAAAGGUUUCACAUCCAUUAGACAUUCGGAAAUUGUAAUAUCCUAUGGCUUGAGCAACCUGCCAAGUGAAAUGCUCAAGUAGUGUACUUCUAUUGAGACUCUCUACGGGGUUGAGUGUAACAAUCUGCAUUCAUUUUCAAUAGAUUUGGGGGAGUGUCUUCUCUCACAUCCUUGUGAAUAAACAAAUUUCUAUGUCCCAAAUUGACGAGUCUACAGAAAAGAAAUGGGUUUCUUAGCAGCUUGACAGAAUUAAGAGUUGGCCCAUUUUCAGUUUAAGUGGAUUUCAAUUCAUUCCAAGCGAUUCCUGACGGCAUAAAACUUGUCUUUUCGUAGUACUAUAUUUAUAUGAGUGGUCUCACUGGAUCACUCUGCCAUCCCAGCUUUAGCAUGUCAGUGCUGUAACUGUGUUAGACUUGUAUGAUUGUGAGAUUGAAGCUUUGCUUGAGCGGUCUGGGAACUUCAUCUCUUUAAAAUUGUAACUAUACAGGUAAGAAAAGCUAAGGCAUAUGCAUAUGAGGAAGCCAUUCAAUACCUCACCAAAUUACAAGAAUUAGAUAUUAGCCACUGUACGCUAUUAAAGGAUGUUUGCACCCAAUAGAGGCCGUGAUUCUGAGUGGAGCAAAAUUUCUCAUAUUCGUGAUGUUCAUGGAGACUGAUUUAAUUUUAAUUUGCCUCCAUUUUUUGUGUUUUCUCAUGUGUAAGUAUCUCCAUUUUCAUUAAAUUCUAAUUAUUAUUCAUGAUUUUCCUUUUCCAAUCGUUCACAUAUAUUUAUGCAGGUCGCAUUAUAACCAGUUGCAUUUUAUGCUAAUAUGAAGCCCCC
rnacentral:lncRNA from 1 species